rnacentral:lncRNA from 1 species
CUCCCUCCAGGUUACCUCCAGCUCACAGUGUGGCUGGGGCUUUUGGGCCUCCAGUUUUCUUCCUGUCGAGCGGGUUCAGGAAGAGCAGGCUCUGCGUCACUGGGGCCCCAGCUGGUGAUGGGGGCCUGGACACGUGUCUAGUGCACUGCUGCCCUCCAGGGAUGAAGCUAGUCUCAGGACAUUGCCCGGGCUCCUGUCACGGCGGCUCUGUGGUUGGUCCACGCCUGCUCUGGCCGGCCACAGCUCUGGGCCUUUUUCACUGGCCUUCUUUGAGCUCUCCCUGGACUUUGGAGCAUCAUGAGAUUUUUCCAUGCUUCUGGCUCUGUCGCUCACAAGCUCAACAGUGACUUGGGGUCAGGGUGGUAAAGCAAAUAGGUGCCUUCCUGGGAAUGGGCAGUGGCGGGGGGUCAGGGAGAGGGAGGCUAGAGAAUAGAUAGGACCUCCUGGUAGUGGCAAGAACAGCCCCAGCUCCCGCCUUCCUGGAACCCUUCUGCUGAGGAGCCCCCGGGCUGAGGAGGAGGCCUCAUGGGGGCCAUUUCACAGACCAAGAGGCUGAGUCACUUGCCUAAGGUUGGGCCUCUGGUGAGUGACAGGCUGCAGCUGGACAGGAAAAGAACUCCUGCGGGGAGCCGCUAAUCCCAGAGUAAACAGAUGACCUCGUGGUGCCUUUCUCCCGGAGGUGGGGUUCCUAGCGCAGCGCCCCAACUGUGCAAACAGACCCCGGAGGGCUCGGUGCGCCUGCAGGGGCGUGGCCAGGGACCUGGGCCUGGGGCCAGGAGGGGCCUUUCCCUCUUGCCAGCCCUCUUUCUUCCUUUGUGAUUUCAAUUGAAUGGGGAGAAGCUCAAAGGCAGGGGCAGGAAAGGUCAAAGCCAAUUUGCAGGGCCAAGUGUGGGGGAGGAGAGAAGGGCUCAGACCAAGGUUUUUUUUUUUUUUUUUUGGAGGCCUGACCUUCACCUGGAAGCAACUCCUCCCCCUCCUGGGUCUUCUGCGGACACUGCCCUGGCAGAGCUGGCUUUGCAUCCUGGCCGCCUCCCUUACUAGCUGUGUGACAGAGGCCAGCAAGUGCACCUUUCUGAGCCUCAGUUUCCUCACUUGGAAAGCAGACGUUCCUGGCAGCCCUGAGGGCUGUGCACACGGGCCAGGCUGAUGGAGUUAACUGCAAACACGCUCAGGAAGUGUAAACAGCCCUCCUCCGGGCCAGGACGACUGGCAGACUCACGGGCAGCUUGCACAAUCCUGUGUGCUGCUAUGACACUCAUUUUUGGGGCAUGGAGUCAUCUCUGCCAUGGGCCUCUCCCUCCUUGCCCUGGAUCGUCUUUGUAACACAGAUGGUACUGCGUGUCAGUAGUCAGUGGGAAGAAAUUCAGACCCCAGCCCCACCCCGAAGCUCAUUCUGAUUUAGAGCUGCCCAAGGACCCGAGGAGGCUGGAGCUGAAAGGGAGCCUGGGAAUUACCUAGCCCAACCUCUUCAUUUUCUAGAUGAAGGACCUGCGACCUAAAGAGGUGGGGACACUAAGGCCAUGUAAGUAUGUCAAAGCUUGGCACAAAGCUGGGUGUCCUGGGAUGGCAGCUGGUUUCAAAACCAGCCAAACAAGGCCUGUAAAUCUUGGCACAAUGGACUGUCCAGCCAUGUGAACUUGGAUCAGGGACUUCUUCCUGAGUCUCAGUCCCCUCAUCUGCAGGGCAUGGCAUGCAAGGGUGUUGUGCAGAACUCAGGGAGUGCUGAUAGUUAAAUGCCUAGCACAGUGCCAGGCUCAUACUAGGGGCUUCCUUCUCCUGCCUCCCUCUGCCCUUUCUUUGCAAACUU